GAUGAACGCUAGCGACAGGCCUAACACAUGCAAGUCGAGGGGCAGCACAUGAGUAGCAAUACGAUGGUGGCGACCGGCGUACGGGUGCGUAACGCGUAUGCAACCUGCCCCGCACCGGGGGAUAACCCGCCGAAAGGCGGACUAAUACCCCAUGGUUCCCCGACCCUGCCUGGGGUUGGGGGUAAAGCCUACGGGCGGCGGUGGAUGGCCCUGCGUGCCAUUAGCUAGAUGGUGAGGUAACGGCUCACCAUGGCAAUGAUGUCUAGGGGUUCUGAGAGGAAGGCCCCCCACACUGGGACUGAGACACGGCCCAGACUCCUACGGGAGGCAGCAGUGAGGAAUAUUGGACAAUGGAUGGAAAUCUGAUCCAGCCAUGCCGCGUGCAGGAAGACAGCCUUACGGGUUGUAAACUUCUUUUCUGUCAGAAGAAUAAGCUUGUCGAGACGAGUGAUGCCGGUAUGACAGGAAUAAGCAUCGGCUAACUCCGUGCC
rnacentral:rRNA from 1 species